rnacentral:rRNA from 1 species
UUGGUUAAGUUAGAAAGGGCGCACGGUGGAUGCCUUGGCACUAGGAGCCGAAGAAGGACGGGACUAACACCGAUAUGCUUUGGGGAGCUGUACGUAAGCGUUGAUCCAGAGAUUUCCGAAUGGGGGAACCCACUAUCUUUAGUCGGAUAGUAUCCUUACGUGAAUACAUAGCGUGAGGAAGGCAGACCCAGGGAACUGAAACAUCUAAGUACCUGGAGGAAGAGAAAGAAAAAUCGAUUUCCUGAGUAGCGGCGAGCGAAACGGAAAGAGCCCAAACCAAGAAGCUUGCUUCUUGGGGUUGUAGGACACUCUAUACGGAGUUACAAAAGAAAGUUAUAAAUGAAGCGGUCUGGAAAGGCCCGCCAAAGACGGUAACAGCCCGGUAGUUGAAAUGGCUUUCCCUCCAGAGUGGAUCCUGAGUACGGCGGAACACGUGAAAUUCCGUCGGAAUCCGGGAGGACCAUCUCCCAAGGCUAAAUACUCCCUAGUGACCGAUAGUGAACCAGUACCGUGAGGGAAAGGUGAAAAGCACCCCGGAAGGGGAGUGAAACAGUUCCUGAAACCGUGUGCCUACAAGUAGUUAGAGCCCGUUAAUGGGUGAUAGCGUGCCUUUUGUAGAAUGAACCGGCGAGUUACGAUUUGUUGCAAGGUUAAGCGGAAAAAGCGGAGCCGUAGCGAAAGCGAGUCUGAAUAGGGCGCAUAAGUAACAGGUCGUAGACCCGAAACCAGGUGAUCUACCCAUGUCCAGGAUGAAGGUAAGGUAAUACUUACUGGAGGUCCGAACCCACGCACGUUGAAAAGUGCGGGGAUGAGGUGUGGGUAGCGGAGAAAUUCCAAUCGAACUUGGAGAUAGCUGGUUCUCUCCGAAAUAGCUUUAGGGCUAGCCUCGAGGUAAAGAGUCAUGGAGGUAGAGCACUGUUUGGACUAGGGGCCCUUCUCGGGUUACCGAAUUCAGAUAAACUCCGAAUGCCAUGUACUUAUACUCGGGAGUCAGACUGCGAGUGAUAAGAUCCGUAGUCGAAAGGGAAACAGCCCAGACCACCAGUUAAGGUCCCCAAAUAUAUGUUAAGUGGAAAAGGAUGUGGGGUUGCUUAGACAACCAGGAUGUUGGCUUAGAAGCAGCCACCAUUGAAAGAGUGCGUAAUAGCUCACUGGUCGAGUGACCCCGCGCCGAAAAUGUACCGGGGCUAAACAUAUUACCGAAACUGUGGAUGAACCUCUUU